rnacentral:ncRNA from 2 species
UGGUACCCUUCGGGUGCCAGUCGUACCACGCCAGUGGUCAGGGAAUCCGGUGCGAAUCCGGAACUGACGCGCAGCGGUGAGGGGGACGGGCGGGGUACUUUGCGCCACUGGGGCGAGCCCGCGGCGACCACUGCGUCGACGCGGAACCGGCCUGGGAAGGCAUCCCGUCCGGGUGAACCCGAGUCCGAAGACCUGCUGGCCCCUCCGCGUCGAA